rnacentral:rRNA from 1 species
AGUGAACGCUGGCGGUAGGCCUAACACAUGCAAGUCGAACGGCAGCACAGUAAGAGCUUGCUCUUACGGGUGGCGAGUGGCGGACGGGUGAGGAAUACAUCGGAAUCUACUUUUUCGUGGGGGAUAACGUAGGGAAACUUACGCUAAUACCGCGUACGACCUACGGGUGAAAGCAGGGGAUCUUCGGACCUUGCGCGAUUGAAUGAGCCGAUGUCGGAUUAGCUAGUUGGCGGGGUAAAGGCCCACCAAGGCGACGAUCCGUAGCUGGUCUGAGAGGAUGAUCAGCCACACUGGAACUGAGACAUGGUCCAGACUCCUACGGGAGGCAGCAGUGGGGAAUAUUGGACAAAGGGCGCAAGCCUGAUCCAGCCAUACCGCGUGGGUGAGGAAGGCCUUCGGGUUGUAAAGCCCUUUUGUUGGGAAAGAAAAGCAGCAGGUUAAUACCCCGCUGUUCUGACGGUACCCAAAGAAUAAGCACCGGCUAACUUCGUG